GACGAACGCUGGCGGCGUGCUUAACACAUGCAAGUCGAGCGGUAAGGCCCUUUCGGGGGUACACGAGCGGCGAACGGGUGAGUAACACGUGGGUGACCUGCCUUCAGCUCUGGGAUAAGCCUGGGAAACUGGGUCUAAUACUGGAUAUUACUCUGCGGUGCAUGCCGUGGGGUGGAAAGCCUUGUGCGGCUGGGGAUGGGCCCGCGGCCUAUCAGCUUGUUGGUGGGGUGAUGGCCACCAAGGCGACGACGGGUAGCCGGCCUGAGAGGGCGACCGGCCACACUGGGACUGAGACACGGCCCAGACUCCUACGGGAGGCAGCAGUGGGGAAUCUUGCGCAAUGGGCGAAAGCCUGACGCAGCGACGCCGCGUGA
rnacentral:rRNA from 1 species